rnacentral:lncRNA from 1 species
AGCGUGUGAAUCCGGGCUGUAGUGUAACGCCCCGGUAGUUAAGCUACAGUAACCACACACUAAUGGUGGCAUGUCAUCACAAUUAAAUUUCUCAACCUCACUUUGAUCCAAACCGAAUUCAAAUUCAAAUUUAAAAGAAAGUCAAAUUAUUAUUUCUGCAAACGGUAAAACAAAAAACGUUCGCUGGGUUGCAAUAAUUCACUAACUAAUUUUCAUAAAUAAUCCAAUAUUAUCUGGAAUAUUAAGUUGCCCCUAACCUAUUUAAAGCAGUGCCCAAAACAGCCUUUUUAAUCCAUUUGUAUUUAAGCAAAAUUCAAAUGAGUUUAGUUAAGCUCCAAACUUUUUGUGGCUUUCACAAAUAUUACGUAGUAAUUGUAUGGCAAGUUUCAUAUAUAACAAAAAUCAUUUGAUGGCCCAACCUAAUACAAAAUAGGAUCUGAAAAUGCAAAGAAAAGAAAAGAAAGCGAAACGGGCCUAAACUAAGGUGCCACUGGGCCAUAAGUGGCCAGACCGCCCAGCCCACCAAAACCUUCCCCUAGCUCCCGCUACAGGAACAGAGGAUGUGCGUGGCGCACAUCCACGACGGCCAUGGCCGUGGAUGCCCUCCACGUCGCCUCCCUGUGCUUAUAACUACGUCGACCGAAACCCUAGCCCCCACCUCGUCCAGCCCCUCCUGGACCCCCCUUCGCCCCGCUCCUCAUCUGCUCGUUUUCGAGCUCGAAAGCUCUACGGUCACCAUUGUCUCACCCUUGUUACCGCGGCUACCGUCCUCGCCGUCCCUCAGGAGCACGUCCAGGAGGUCCGCCAAGGUCGCCUUCAUCCGUUCCGGGCAUCGAUUCGAGCCGAGGCGCUGCGUAGCCGUCUUCAUCUUCAUCUUCUCUGCACGGCCGCCACCACCUCGCCGUCGUUGCCGCUGCUCCGAGACUCCCCCGACCUCCUAACCUCGUCCACAAGACCCGGCGUGAGCUCCUCCCUCGGAUCCCUUUUUUUUCCGUUCGAUUUGGACGCCGUAGGCCGCCUUCACCGUAGUGCCCGAUCUCGGGCGUACACGUAGGUAUGUGCGUGCGUGCUAUGCGCUGCUGCUCUACCUUGCACUGCUACUGCUACCUCUAGCCGUUGCUACUGCUGUUUCUUGUUGCCGCUAGCUGCUACCCACUACUGCUACUCUACGGCUCCUGCUAGUGGCCGUUGCCGUUGCCCUAGGCUGCUGCUGCCGCACGAGCUGUUCUUGACCGCACGCCCGCCUACGCCUCUGACCGCGCGUCGCCGAACCCCCUGCUCCUCGUGCCGCCGCCCCCCUGCUGCUAGAGCGCGCGCCCGCGCCGUUUCGUGCCCCCCCNNNNNNNNNNNNNNNNNNNNNNNNNNNNNNNNNNNNNNNNNNNNNNNNNNNNNNNNNNNNNNNNNNNNNNNNNNNNNNNNNNNNNNNNNNNNNNNNNNNNNNNNNNNNNNNNNNNNNNNNNNNNNNNNNNNNNNNNNNNNNNNNNNNNNNNNNNNNNNNNNNNNNNNNNNNNNNNNNNNNNNNNNNNNNNNNNNNNNNNNNNNNNNNNNNNNNNNNNNNNNNNNNNNNNNNNNNNNNNNNNNNNNNNNNNNNNNNNNNNNNNNNNNNNNNNNNNNNNNNNNNNNNNNNNNNNNNNNGGUACGCAUAGCAUUUUUCCAAAUUAAUUUCGAAUUAAUAAUAAUUUCAGAAUAUUGCUAAAACUUUAGAAAAUCAUAUAGAAUAAACCGUAACUCGGAUUAAAAUAAUUUAUACAUGAAAGUUGCUCAGAACGACGAGACGAAUCCGGAUACGCAGACCGUUCGUCCGACACACAUCCCUAACAUAUCGAACUCGCAACUUUCCCCCUCCGUUUCAUCUGUCCGAAAAUGCGAAACAUCGGGAAUACUUUCCCGGUUGUUCCCCCCUUCGUCGGUAUCACCUACUACCGCGUUAGGGCACACCUAGCACCGCGUAUUGUCAUGUCACGCUUUGUGUUGCUUUGAUUGCUCUGUUAUUUAUUGUGUUCCCCCUUCGUUACUUCUUUCCGGUAGACCCCGAGACUACCGGCGACCCCCAGUUCGACUACGGAGUUGACGACCCCUCCUACUUGCCAGAGCAACCAGGCAAGCCCCCCCCCCUUGAUCACCAGAUAUCGCCUAUUCUUCUCUAUACUGCUUGCAUUAGAGUAGUGUAGCAUGUUACUUCUUUCCGUUAAUCCUAUCCUGAUGCAUAGCCUGUCAUUGUUGCUACAGUUGUUACCCUUACCUGCUAUCCUACUGCUUAGUAUAGGAUGCUAGUGUUCCAUUAGUGGCCCUACCUCUUGUCCGUCUGCCAUGCUAUACUAUUGGGCCGUGAUCACUUCGGAGGUGAUCACGGGUAUAUACUAUAUACAUUAUAUACAUGACACAUGUGGUGACUAAAGUCGGGUCGGCUCGAGGAGUACCCGCAAGUGAUUCUGAUGAGGGGGCUGAAAGGACAGGUGGCUCCACCCCGGUAGAGGUGGGCCUGGGUUCCUGACGGCCCCCCGACUAUUACUUUGUGGCGGAACGACAGGGCAGGUUGAGACCACCUAGGAGAGAGGUGGGCCUGGCCCUGGUCGGCGUUCGCAGAUACUUAACACGCUUAACGAGAUCUUGGUAUUUGAUCUGAGUCUGGCCAUUUGGUCUAUACGCACUAACCAGCUACGCGGGAACAGUUAUGGGCACUCGACGUCGUGGUAUCAGCCGAAGCUCUUCUUGACGUCAGCGACGGAGCGGCGCGCGUCGGAUUGGACUGGAACGCCCACUAGGCUAGGUCUGCUUCCGGCCGCCCUCGCAACGUGCAGGUGUGCAUAGGGCGAUGGGCCCAGACCCCUGCGCGCAUAGGUUUAGACCGGCGUGUUGACCUCUCGGUUGAGCCUAGGUGGGGCUGCGACGCGUUGAUCUUACGAGGCCGGGCAUGACCCAGAAAAGUGUGUCCGGCCAAAUGGGAUCGAGCGUGUUGGGUUAUGUGGUGCACCCCUGCAGGGAAGUUUAUCUAUUCGAAUAGCCGUGUCCCUCGGUAAAAGGACGACCCGGAGUUGUACCUUGACCUUAUGACAACUAGAACUGGAUACUUAAUAAAACACACCCUUCCAAGUGCCAGAUACAACCCGGUGAUCGCUCUCUAACAGGGCGACGAGGAGGGGAUCGCCAGGUAGGAUUAUGCUAUGCGAUGCUACUUGGAGGACUUCAAUCUACUCUCUUCUACAUGCUGCAAGAUGGAGGCUGCCAGAAGCGUAGUCUUCGACAUGAUUAGCUAUCCCCCUCUCAUUCUGGCAUUCUGCAGUUCAGUCCACCGAUAUGGCCCUUUACACAUAUACCCAUGCAUAUGUAGUGUAGCUCCUUGCUUGCGAGUACUUUGGAUGAGUACUCACGGUUGCUUUUCUCCCUCUUUUCCCCUUUCUAUACCUGAUUGUCGCAACCAGAUGCUGGAGUCCAGGAGCUAGAGAUCCCGAGGAUGAUUCUACGUGGAGUUCGGCUUCGAGGAGUAGUUAGGAGGUCCCAGGCAGGAGGCCUUGCCUUUUCGAUCGNNNNNNNNNNUGGCCCCCUGGGCCACUGACCCAGGGGCCCCACGCCCCUUUUUCAAAAAAAUAAAAUGAAUGAAUAAUAUUAUACAAAUUAAUUAUUUAAUUAGUUGAUUAAUUAAUUAACUUAAUUAAAAUAGUUAACUAAACUAAUUACUUAGUUAGCCUAACUAAUCUGUAAUUAGUUAGAUGACUCAAUGACAGGGGGCCCCACCACCUGUUGACCAGUCAAACCUUGACUGGUCAACUGGGUCCCCCUUGGCCCAUCUGUCAUCCCCUGGGUACACUUCUGUGUACCCUGUGCUGGUACGCAUAGCAUUUUUCCAAAUUAAUUUCGAAUUAAUAAUAAUUUCAGAAUAUUGCUAAAACUUUAGAAAAUCAUAUAGAAUAAACCGUAACUCGGAUUAAAAUAAUUUAUACAUGAAAGUUGCUCAGAACGACGAGACGAAUCCGGAUACGCAGACCGUUCGUCCGACACACAUCCCUAACAUAUCGAACUCGCAACUUUCCCCCUCCGUUUCAUCUGUCCGAAAAUGCGAAACAUCGGGAAUACUUUCCCGGUUGUUCCCCCCUUCGUCGGUAUCACCUACUACCGCGUUAGGGCACACCUAGCACCGCGUAUUGUCAUGUCACGCUUUGUGUUGCUUUGAUUGCUCUGUUAUUUAUUGUGUUCCCCCUUCGUUACUUCUUUCCGGUAGACCCCGAGACUACCGGCGACCCCCAGUUCGACUACGGAGUUGACGACCCCUCCUACUUGCCAGAGCAACCAGGCAAGCCCCCCCCCCUUGAUCACCAGAUAUCGCCUAUUCUUCUCUAUACUGCUUGCAUUAGAGUAGUGUAGCAUGUUACUUCUUUCCGUUAAUCCUAUCCUGAUGCAUAGCCUGUCAUUGUUGCUACAGUUGUUACCCUUACCUGCUAUCCUACUGCUUAGUAUAGGAUGCUAGUGUUCCAUUAGUGGCCCUACNNNNNNNNNNUGCAGGUGUGCAUAGGGCGAUGGGCCCAGACCCCUGCGCGCAUAGGUUUAGACCGGCGUGUUGACCUCUCGGUUGAGCCUAGGUGGGGCUGCGACGCGUUGAUCUUACGAGGCCGGGCAUGACCCAGAAAAGUGUGUCCGGCCAAAUGGGAUCGAGCGUGUUGGGUUAUGUGGUGCACCCCUGCAGGGAAGUUUAUCUAUUCGAAUAGCCGUGUCCCUCGGUAAAAGGACGACCCGGAGUUGUACCUUGACCUUAUGACAACUAGAACUGGAUACUUAAUAAAACACACCCUUCCAAGUGCCAGAUACAACCCGGUGAUCGCUCUCUAACAGGGCGACGAGGAGGGGAUCGCCAGGUAGGAUUAUGCUAUGCGAUGCUACUUGGAGGACUUCAAUCUACUCUCUUCUACAUGCUGCAAGAUGGAGGCUGCCAGAAGCGUAGUCUUCGACAUGAUUAGCUAUCCCCCUCUCAUUCUGGCAUUCUGCAGUUCAGUCCACCGAUAUGGCCCUUUACACAUAUACCCAUGCAUAUGUAGUGUAGCUCCUUGCUUGCGAGUACUUUGGAUGAGUACUCACGGUUGCUUUUCUCCCUCUUUUCCCCUUUCUAUACCUGAUUGUCGCAACCAGAUGCUGGAGUCCAGGAGCUAGAGAUCCCGAGGAUGAUUCUACGUGGAGUUCGGCUUCGAGGAGUAGUUAGGAGGUCCCAGGCAGGAGGCCUUGCCUUUUCGAUCGUUGCUACUUUUGAGCCUUCUUAAGGCAAACUUGUUUAACUUAUGUCUGUACUCAGAUAUUGUUGCUUCCGCUGACUCGUCUAUGAUCGAGCACUUGUAUUCGAGCCCUCGAGGCCCCUGGCUUGUAUUAUGAUGCUUGUAUGACUUAUUUAUGUUAUAGAGUUGUGUUGUGAUAUCUUCCCGUGAGUCCCUGAUCUUGAUCGUACACAUUUGCGUGCAUGAUUUGUUUGCGGUCAAAUCGGGGGCGUCACAAGUUGGUAUCAGAGCCAACUGCCUGUAGGAAUCCCCCUUUCCAACUCCUUGGCCGAAGUUGAGUCUAGUCAGUGAAAACUGUUUUACUAACAUGGCUGUGUGGCUUACGAGCCCACAUCGCCAUUGGGUGGUAUUAGGAUCCUUUACUCCUUGUCUAUACUCUGGGACUCUGAACUCUCUCCUAUUCGGGUUAAAUGAUUUUGCUAAAAGGACUAACUGUAGGUUCUCGUAAAUACUUUCUCCCGGAGAGCCCUUUGUCACAGAUGGCCGCCGACUGCACCAGAAGAUGUUGAAGAUACUCUUCGAUCAUUCCCGAGACCCUUGUGCCCUCUGCCUUUUCAAUUCCCUACUACCGAUAUAUCCAUAUGGAUAACAACAUACACUUGUUGUUCAUACAAUUACUCUGAGUUUCUCUUGUUAUUACCAGAUACAUCGAAUUGCUCUCCGGCUUUUUAAGAAUCCCUUGUACCACUGCCUUGUAGUUCCUUGCCGCAGAAAUACCCAUACGGAUAAUUACUCGCACCUACCGAGUAUCGACUCAUCCCCAGUUGAUUCAUGUAUUUCACAAUAGUCUUCAAAAUACUAUUCGAUCUUCCGAAAAUCCUCAGGAGCCUAUUGCUCUUGAAAUUCUUGCCUUCCAGCAUUAUGGUUAAUUCCGUAUUUCUGGUAAUCUCCAUUGACAUUCUUUGUCACUAUCAUUCUAAGUCCCUUGAUUCAAUAUAUUGCGAAUGCUCGCAAUCCUCAAUCAGAUCCUAGAAUUCAUCCUUUCACCUCAGACGUCAUUUUAGACAUGAGCUAGUAUCGACCAAUUGAAUUGCCAUCGAUCGUACCCCUAAGGCUAUUCAACUUAUCCAUCCUUAAUCAGAGCGUUUGCUUCUGAUCCCUUGAUAAAUCAUAAUUCCUUUGCAUUUGAGCUUUGAGUUAGCCAGUUGUUUCUAUAAUCUGAUCCCCUUGCAUUCUUUCUUCCUCUAGUUGAGUACCGAUGCUCACAUCUGAUCCCUUGUGGACCACCAAAUCCUUUGUUAGAUUAUUAUCCGACAGUGCCCUCAUAUUUAAUCACCUCGUGAGUUAUUUCCCUGAUACAUAAUGCCUUUAGUAAACUGUAUCCUCUCGUUUUGACACCCAUGCUCUACUAUCGAGCUUGAGUUAUUUACCCCUGAAGCUUGUGGUAUAUGUUUCCACGAUGCCCCGAUGGGUUGAACCUAUGCCUUUCAUAAUAUGUGUGAACUCGAAAGUUUUCAUGAGUCAUACUCUUCUGGUAUUUUGCUAGAUAAUUUUUUUUCAACACUGCAACUUCAUCAAACGCGAGAAGUGAAUGAAAGGUUAUGCAUUGAAGAAGUGGGAGUCGACCUUGAACUUUGCGUUCAUGCCCAUGGGCACGAUGUAGAUCUUAUAAUUAAAAUCUUCUCUUAAAUUAAUUAUUCCCUGGGUAUAAGUUCAUCUUAUAUCUGGGAUCUGGCCUUUUCAAUCGUGGUUCUGACCAUGUUCUCCUUUUAAAUACCAUUUCUCGUGCAAGUUUAAGCACUUGUCCUCUGCAGAGCAAUACCCCCGUCCAACCUCUACUUUGGUCUGUCGUCGAGUAUUACCCCCCCUGGUAUCUCGAGAAUGCCAAGGAACUACUUAACUUCUUAUGAGUUCUUCAUCAACUAAUAUUCUCGCCGAUUCCAUUUUUCCAACGGGUUCUGAGUUGUUAGAACCCCUCAAGGACACCGAUAAGUGAAUCAAUUCCACACUCCGAUUCAAUAACUCUAAGUAAUUUUUGUUGCUUACAAGUUUAAUAAUCCUUCAAAUCAUUCCUAGCCUGCUCGGCUAUGUCAUUAUCGUGCCGAUUUUAACUGUGCUACCUGGACCUUCCCAGCGCACAAAUUUCGACAGUGAGCUAACCUUGCGUCGAUCUUCCUCGUCAUAUCACUUCCCCUUGAAUAGCAAACUUGAUUUCGAGAUUGUGUCCUACCCGUGGUUCCAAUAACAUUUCGCUUUCAUCAUUCCUUAGACUUGAUGUCAUCGUUGAUCAAUUACAUCUUCUUGGAAACCUCUCGACAAAUUUGUCGUGAUCAUUGUCAACAAUUUGACUUCUUCGAAGUUGUGUGUCGAAAUUCAGGAUGAGAAACACCAUCCUUGCCCCUCGAUGAAUUGUGUUAUCAUCGACAACAUUCUUGCCUCCCCUCAACACAAACUUGUUCAUAUUUUGUGUUGUAUCUUGAUUUCCCUGCUAUCCAACCUAUGUUAUGUUCUACCGUGGAGUAUUACCAUCUUUGAUGUCAAGAAUGUCGUGAGCAUUACUCCACCUCUUAAGAAUUCUUGGUACAGUGAUACUUCUCACCAUCACCAUUCUUUCUUGGUCCCCGUGUGGUUUCUAAACGAAAUACUGACAAAUGGUCUGUGAUGUGUAAAUUCUAAACUUCUAGCAACCCUAUUGCUUUGAAGUUAUUGGUCUAUAGUUUCAUUCUACGUCUAUGGCUUAAUGAAUCAUCAUUCGAACAUUGAUCGUGCUACCUAGCCCAUGUUUCGGGUGCACAUUUCAACCAAUGUUUAACUGUGUAUGUUUUCCUCGAGCAUACAUCAUUAAGUCAUUCGAUCUAGUUAGUGUUAUCUCCUUGUUCACAUAGUUGUGGAAAUCCAUCUUUUGGAAAUCUCAAUGGAUUGUCGCUGAGUCAAUCAGUCACCUCCUCACCUCUCCUUGAUUUAAUGAUGAACCCUUGUUCGGAACUCGCUUCCAUAGUUCAUCUCCCGAGAAUCUUCGAUGUCGUUCCGACAAUUUGUGUUGCACCUUUCUUCUCAGGCAUCCUGAGUCUGAGUUAUCCUGACACCAAUCAGAUCUGAAUCUCGGUCAGAUAUGAUGGUUGGAACAUAUUUCCAAGAGUUAUAACAUUGGUCUUUAUAUGGCCCGGUAAGGUGAUGUCAUGCCUAGCACACCUGGCCGGAGGACCUAUUGUUAUAGUUUCCUUUUUGGCAAGGUUAGUCAUUCUUCCGUGAGGAAAUUGUAAGACUUAUUCUAUAAGUUGUUCCUGAUGGAUCCUUUUUGUUCCCAAAGUCUGAUCUUCACCUGUUGACCAUGUCAAUGCUAUCUCGAAGCAUGUCUAUGGUACUCCGAUUUUCAACAGGAACAUUCGAAGCCCAAUGCUAAAUGUUUCCUGCUCAAUUAUCCAAACACCGCUGUAUGGGUAAUGUCAUGAAAAUUCUCUCCCGUACCUAAAGAGUUUUCUACAUUAUAUCCUGUCAUGGAUAUCAUGCUCUGCUUGUCCUUGGGAAGGAUAUACCCUUGAAAUAUGUGUUUAAACACAUUUUCCUUUCCAUUGUUCUGUUUAAUCUGAUAAUCAUAUUUUCCUUUCCAUUGUUUGGUUUAACCUUUCUGGUGAUCUAUAUGAUCUAAGCAGUAAUAUUCUCCUGCUUAUGUAAACACCUCGGUGUACAAUUCUGUCAGUAAGACCCUGUUACUAUUGUCGAUGAUAUUCCGGUAACCACCGAUGGACGAGAACUUUGCCUAUUGGUCCGCCUCGUUUCGACGAGCAGGAAAAUGGUUCUCUUCGUCCCUCGCCCUUGGUACCGAUGUUGUUGCCGACAUAAAAGACAGGCUAUCCUCUGACAUGCCUUGCUUACAUGAUCACGCAAGACGUCUCCGCCCUUCCUACUUUUAACCCACAUGGUGGGCCCAUAACCCACAGUUCCACAGGAUCGAAACCUGACUCUCCUGUACACCCUGUUGACAAAGUUAUUCCUCGUGCUUGACUUUGUAUGUAACUCACGGGCCACCUGCCUAUUGAUCUAUUCUGGUAUAAGACGCAAUACUUAUUCCCGAUUGCUUUGAGCCCCUUUCACGCCCUGUUUCAGGCAUCGAACGAUUGCCUGCCUGCUCGAAACUUCCCAUGAUAUCUCCUUACUUUGCUCUCGAUAUCAUCUUAAGUUUCAAUUCGAGAGAUACUUAUGCUUCUUCCCCUGAGUUAACCGUCUGAUGCUCGAUCUUGUCAGAAUCCGUCCUUAUAAAGUUUUCCCUUCUUACCCUUUCGUAAGUACGGUGAAGAUGUUGAAGAAAGGACGACAACUUCAUCAUGAUGACCUGAAGCAGAGAAAUGAAGACAUCAACGUAAUGGAUCGACCUCUUCGAGAAGAUCAACCAAGACCGUGAAGAAUCGUUAGAGAUUGCGUAACCUAGCCUCCCCCCUUACACCACCCCUUCAAUCUCGGGACGAGAUUUCUUGUAGUGGAGGAGAUUUGUAACGCCCCGGUAGUUAAGCUACAGUAACCACACACUAAUGGUGGCAUGUCAUCGCAAUUAAAUUUCUCAACCUCACUUUGAUCCAAACCGAAUUCAAAUUCAAAUUUAAAAGAAAGUCAAAUUAUUAUUUCUGCAAACGGUAAAACAAAAAACGUUCGCUGGGUUGCAAUAAUUCACUAACUAAUUUUCAUAAAUAAUCCAAUAUUAUCUGGAAUAUUAAGUUGCCCCUAACCUAUUUAAAGCAGUGCCCAAAACAGCCUUUUUAAUCCAUUUGUAUUUAAGCAAAAUUCAAAUGAGUUUAGUUAAGCUCCAAACUUUUUGUGGCUUUCACAAAUAUUACGUAGUAAUUGUAUGGCAAGUUUCAUAUAUAACAAAAAUCAUUUGAUGGCCCAACCUAAUACAAAAUAGGAUCUGAAAAUGCAAAGAAAAGAAAAGAAAGCGAA